rnacentral:tRNA from 1 species
GGCCCCGUGGACGUUCCCGGCGGAGCGGCCUGUCCGCAAAACAGGUGACCACGAUCGGUUCGACUCCGAGCGGGGCCUC